GAUGAACGCUGGCGGCGUGCCUAAUACAUGCCAGUCGAGCGAACAGACGAGGAGCUUGCUCCUCUGACGUUAGCGGCGGACGGGUGAGUAACACGUGGAUAACCUACCUAUAAGACUGGGAUAACUUCGGGAAACCGGAGCUAAUACCGGAUAAUAUAUUGAACCGCAUGGUUCAAUAGUGAAAGACGGUUUUGCUGUCACUUAUAGAUGGAUCCGCGCCGCAUUAUCUAGUUGGUAAGGUAACGGCUUACCAAGGCAACGAUGCGUAGCCGACCUGAGAGGGUGAUCGGCCACACUGGAACUGAGACACGGUCCAGACUCCUACGGGAGGCAGCAGUAGGGAAUCUUCCGCAAUGGGCGAAAGCUUGACGGAGCAACGCCGCGUGAGUGAUGAAGGUCUUCGGAUCGUAAAACUCUGUUAUUAGGGAAGAACAAAUGUGUAAGUAACUAUGCACGUCUUGACGGUACCUAAUCAGAAAGCAACGGCUAACUACGUG
rnacentral:rRNA from 1 species